rnacentral:lncRNA from 1 species
GCAGCAGGUACUGGGGCUGUCACAAUAAGUUGUUGAGCAGAGCUGGUGACAGCAAACUACCUCAUCUAGACAGGGGUGGGAGAUGUGGCAAAGCCAUUCAGCUGAAGGGUAAAACCUGAGCCUGAUCCAGCUUGAAGGCCACCAGACUGAGCUCCUCAGUCCCAUGGAGAUCUCUUGGAGAUAGCAGUAAUGAUCAGAAGCACUGACUUUAUACUGCACUGACUCCACGCAGAGCUGAAUGUGCAAGACCAGGCUCUCCUGUUUAACAUCACUGACACAGGAGCACAGGCCGUGGAUAUGGGCAAG